UCGAGCGGAUGAAGGGAGCUUGCUCCUGGAUUCAGCGGCGGACGGGUGAGUAAUGCCUAGGAAUCUGCCUGGUAGUGGGGGAUAACGUCCGGAAACGGGCGCUAAUACCGCAUACGUCCUGAGGGAGAAAGUGGGGGAUCUUCGGACCUCACGCUAUCAGAUGAGCCUAGGUCGGAUUAGCUAGUUGGUGGGGUAAAGGCCUACCAAGGCGACGAUCCGUAACUGGUCUGAGAGGAUGAUCAGUCACACUGGAACUGAGACACGGUCCAGACUCCUACGGGAGGCAGCAGUGGGGAAUAUUGGACAAUGGGCGAAAGCCUGAUCCAGCCAUGCCGCGUGUGUGAAGAAGGUCUUCGGAUUGUAAAGCACUGUAAGUUGGGAGGAAGGGCAGUAAGUUAAUACCUUGCUGUUUUGACGUUACCAACAGAAUAAGCACCGGCUAACUUCGUGCCAGCAGCCGCGGUAAUACGAAGGGUGCAAGCGUUAAUCGGAAUUACUGGGCGUAAAGCGCGCGUAGGUGGUUCAGCAAGUUGGAUGUGAAAUCCCCGGGCUCAACCUGGGAACUGCAUCCAAAACUACUGAGCUAGAGUACGGUAGAGGGUGGUGGAAUUUCCUGUGUAGCGGUGAAAUGCGUAGAUAUAGGAAGGAACACCAGUGGCGAAGGCGACCACCUGGACUGAUACUGACACUGAGGUGCGAAAGCGUGGGGAGCAAACAGGAUUAGAUANCCUGGUAGUCCACGCCGUAAACGAUGUCGACUAGCCGUUGGGAUCCUUGAGAUCUUAGUGGCGCAGCUAACGCGAUAAGUCGACCGCC
rnacentral:rRNA from 1 species